rnacentral:rRNA from 1 species
UACGUAGGGUGCAAGCGUUAAUCGGAAUUACUGGGCGUAAAGCGUGCGCAGGCGGUGAUGUAAGACAGUUGUGAAAUCCCCGGGCUCAACCUGGGAACUGCAUCUGUGACUGCAUCGCUGGAGUGCGGCAGAGGGGGAUGGAAUUCCGCGUGUAGCAGUGAAAUGCGUAGAUAUGCGGAGGAACACCGAUGGCGAAGGCAAUCCCCUGGGCCGGCACUGACGCUCAUGCACGAAAGCGUGGGGAGCAAACAGG